AAGGCGGAAAAACUGUGGCUUCCCUCUCCCUUCUGCCUGUGAGCUGUCUAGUGACUUGUGCUGUCCUUCUGUCAUGCUGUCUUAUCAUUUCCCCAUUCACUCCAUUACUGGGCAACAACUGCAGAAGAAAUUGUUGAGGACAUGCUUCUCGAGCGCCACACAUCCAUCUGCCUUUCCCGCCCUGCACUGGUAUCAAUUUGCCUGCUUCUUCCUUUUCCUAGUGUCUCACAAAAUAAAUUUCUUCUGUAGUUGCCAUUCCUUGGAGACCCUCUUGCUUCUUUCUCUGUCAAGAAGGGGAAAGAGGCAAAGAGAGAAGAGGGAACAGUAGGCGAUGGAGAAUGACAGUCCAUUGUUGCAGCACAGAAUAUGGGGCCACCAAAGGGCUGCACAAAGAUGUUCAGGGAUAACUCGGCCAUGAGAAAACAUCUGCACACCCACGGUCCCAGAGUCCACGUCUGUGCAGAAUGUGGCAAAGCUUUUGUUGAGAGUUCAAAACUAAAACGACACCAACUGGUUCAUACUGGAGAGAAGCCCUUUCAGUGCACGUUCGAAGGCUGUGGGAAACGCUUUUCACUGGACUUCAAUUUGCGCACACACGUGCGAAUCCAUACCGGAGACAGGCCCUAUGUGUGCCCCUUCGAUGGUUGUAAUAAGAAGUUUGCUCAGUCAACUAACCUGAAAUCUCACAUCUUAACACAUGCUAAGGCCAAAAACAACCAGUGAAAAGAAGAGAGAAGACCCUUCUCGACCACGGGAAGCAUCUUCCAGAAGUGUGAUUGGGAAUAAAUAUGCCUCUCCUUUGUAUAUUAUUUCUAGGAAGAAUUUUAAAAAUGAAUCCUACACACCUAAGGGACAUGUUUUGAUAAAGUAGUAAAAAUUAAAAAAAAAAAAACUUUACUAAGAUGACAUUGCUAAGAUGCUCUAUCUUGCUCUGUAAUCUCGUUUCAAAAACACAGUGUUUUUGUAAAGUGUGGUCCCAACAGGAGGACAAUUCAUGAACUUCGCAUCAAAAGACAAUUCUUUAUACAACAGUGCUAAAAAUGGGACUUCUUUUCACAUUCUUAUAAAUAUGAAGCUCACCUGUUGCUUACAAUUUUUUUAAUUUUGUAUUUUCCAAGUGUGCAUAUUGUACACUUUUUUGGGGAUAUGCUUAGUAAUGCUAUGUGUGAUUUUUCUGGAGGUUGAUAACUUUGCUUGCAGUAGAUUUUCUUUAAAAGAAUGGGCAGUUACAUGCAUACUUCAAAAGUAUUUUCCUGUAAAAAAAAAAAGUUAUAUAGGUUUUGUUUGCUAUCUUAAUUUUGGUUGUAUUCUUUGAUGUUAACACAUUUUGUAUAAUUGUAUCGUAUAGCUGUAUUGAAUCAUGUAGUAUCAAAUAUUAGAUGUGAUUUAAUAGUGUUAAUCAAUUUAAACCCAUUUUAGUCACUUUUUUUUUCCAAAAAAAUACUGCCAGAUGCUGAUGUUCAGUGUAAUUUCUUUGCCUGUUCAGUUACAGAAAGUGGUGCUCAGUUGUAGAAUGUAUUGUACCUUUUAACACCUGAUGUGUACAUCCCAUGUAACAGAAAGGGCAACAAUAAAAUAGCAAUCCUAAAGCAAGAAUAUGGCAGAACAAGAUCUGUAAGCACAGUCUUAUUUUCUUUUGUUGUCCAGAAUACUUAUAAUUCUUGAGCCUCCCAGAAAUUGGAAGCUAAAUAAAGCAACUCAAGUUUCCUUUAUUUUGCACUCAGUUACAGUGAUUAUUGAUGAAAGCGAUGCAUGGAUAUUUUAAUACUUCCUACAUGGCCUGACUUCUGAAAGAGAGUAGGUAACAGGCAUCCCGAGUUCAGGAACUACCUCAGAACACCCCAGGCCAGGUUGGUCGUAGGCUGUGAUUUUAGCCCCCGGCAAGUGUGAGUGAAGCAUCUGUACCACCGCGCAGGCUGAGCGCCUGCGCAGGGUAAGGUGCCACCUGGCAGUGGGGCACACAGAGGGAAGACCAGGCCUGUCCAUCAGCCGGCUGCCUUCAGAGGCAGCUCCAGCAGGGCCUUGGCUUGUCUGACAGGAAAUGCUUGUGGUCGUUGGUUAUUUGGUUUGAGAGCCCUUGUUCCUCCAUCUAGUGGAGUCCUUAUUAAAUGCUAGCAAUGUGGCAAUUGAGUGCCAGUAGCUUCAUUUCAUGUUUCUAAAUGGACACUGGGUGCAAAUCGGCAAGGUGAUUAGAUUAUUAGAAAAUUGUGCUCAAUGAGUACCUCUCACAUUGUAACCUCUUAAAUGUACGAUUAUAAUGUUGGAUCUUAGGUCAAAUAACAGACUUGAGAAUACUUUAUAAACUGCCAUGAUACAGCAAAAUCUCAUUUAUUCAAAGUGCAAACAUACUGUGUGUCUUUCUGUUUUGUGUAUGCUUGACUGCAAGAUAAAUGACAAACUAGCUAAUAUCCGAGAUUUAUUUACAAACGGCCAGGGACCCCAUCAGGUGAAACACAUAGCCCAUUGUCUUAGAGCUUCUCCAUCGGUCCUGUACAGGAGGAUUGGUGACCUACUAACAGUGACCCUGUGGCUCUGUGGAAUUUUGAAGUGCCUUUUGUGAAUCAUGAAUGAAACAUUUAACUUGAGACCCUUAAAAAAAUUCAUCCAGAAUCUGUUACCCCUUGGGUAGUUUGAUGGAACUGAGUUAAGCAGAAGACCCCAGCUGUUUUCUGGGUAAGCCAGGCUUUGCUGUAUCUGGCAGUCAGGAGAGAGGUCAGCCCAUGGUGGAGGUCUUCAGUGCCGAGGGCUCGGAUGAGAACGUGUAGUUCUUUGACUUGGACCUGGGCAGCGUCUUCUAUGGAUGCCUGCCUUGUGAGCACCCACACCUUCCCUCCCCACUGUCGGGUUGAGUAGCCCCAGCGUGGCUGUGUUAGGAGUCCUUUGCCCAACAUUGUGCUGCACUGGAGCCUGGCCCUGGCACUGUCCUCAGGACCCUGCCCAAGGGCCCACCGCAGAGCACACCUAUGCUAUGGGGAGCCCUGCUGGCAGCCCCGAGAGCCAUGCCAUGGCCUGCAGGAGCCAGGCUCCUGUGUGGAUGAAGUCCCUCUUCCUCUGUGCCUUGAUCCCUUGGUCAUCUCUUCCGUCCUUUCCUGUCUCUGAAAUAGUCAUCACUCCCCUUGACUCUCUCUGUUCACGUCUUCUCAGUCUGCAGAGUUAACUUCUGUAAGGAGUUUAAUCUGGGGUUCCAAGAAAACAAGUUCCUUGUUAACAUAGCACUGACUUUGCAACAAUAGAAAACUAACAAAUGAGCAACAAUAUAAAGAGUAGAGGUAGUUCUCAUUGGGUGUAACUUCAACCCAUUCUGCUUGUGGUUAGAAUUUAUAAUUUUGCUAACGAUGUAAUUUACUAAGGUUUGAAAUGGUGUUCUAACAGUGAGUCCAUUGUCUUGAGGAUUAAUCUGAUUUAUAAGUAAUACUGAUAGACAUAUUUUCGUACAUCUGAGCAGAAAUAAAUGCAUGUUUCUAGCAUAUGUAAUAUAAAAACUCCAGAGGAUAAGUUUACACUUAACAAGAUGUUGUUUUCUAUUUUUGAAUUUCUUAUUAUUUCCCCCUUUUUGGUAGUGGGGUUGAGAGGGGGAGCAUACUAUUUGUAUAAAGAACUGUCACCCCAGAGUGACAUUUAUUUUCCAAGAUGACCCUGAACUCAUGCUGUUGGUUUCAUAUGGUGUUUGUGUGCUUUGCCUAGAUUCAAGGCCUGAGGAUUUGAGGAAAAUCGGGAUUUUUUUUUUCCUAUUUGGUUUUCAUGUAAAAGUUCUAAAUGUCACUUAUUUUGCUAAAUAAGACCCUUUCACAGGAUAGUGUGCACAAUACCUAUCCGUGUUUCCAAGCAGAGUUCAAGUUCAUGUCUUCACAAGUAGAUGAGAGUCACUUCCAGUUGGGGGAAGCCCGCCUGAGCAGUGUUUUGAGAGUGCGUACAUUGGAGAACUGCCCCACGUCCGUUUGCACUCUGCCUUGCAAAACUUACUGUGGAGACGUGCCCCAGACUGGUCUCAGACCAGAGUUUGUGGCACAGGAAAACCUGGCCCCCUAAAAGAAGUUUUGGAAUUGGAAACCUGAUAAUUUCGGGAGGCUGAGGCAGGAGAAUGGCGUGAACCCGGGAGGCGGAGCUUGCAGUGAGCCGAGAUCGCACCACUGCACUCCAGCCUGGGUGACAGAGCAAGACUCCGUCUCCAAAAAAAAAAAAAAGGAAACCUGAUAAUUCUACUCACCUCCCACCGACCCCCCGCCCCCCCCCCCCCCCCCCACUAUAGGCAGAGAGAGUUGAUCACUUCCAGGGUCUCUGACUUCUGUGACCUGGAAAUCAGCCUGGCUUGGGAAAUUCAUGUUGUUGAUCUUUAAUUAUUUAAUUAUUCUUUAAUAAUCCUUCUAUUUUCUUGACAUCUGACCCCCAGCAAGAGUAAGGAUCCCAGAGGUCAAAACAGUGGUGAGAGCCAAGCUGCUCACAGACACCCACUUGAUGCCACAGCCAUGCCAUGAGGCUUCCUCCCAGCUGCUCUGCUGGCUUGCUGAAGCCAGCUCUGAGUCACAGGGUUGCCUUGGACCCUCGGCUGUAGGGGGCACCUGUCUGGCUCCGGGCCCUUUGUCCUGGAUACACUGACAGUAAUGUGAGCGCAGCACUUCAGAGUUCAGGCCCAGCAGGUCCUGGCAAGUGCAUUCCACCUGAACUUUUAACCCAAGCGGUGGGGAAGGAAGCCAAAACUCCAAGCUGCACUUUCUUGGGGUUCUGGCCAUGCACUUCUUAGCCUUCUCUCUGACUUUACAGGACAAAAGGUACCCCACGCCUUCAGAAUCAUGCUUACCUGCACGGCAGCAUCUGACUGGAUGGCUGGCUAGGUCUCAUCCACCCCAAAUUACUGACCCUUGAUUUAUGUUGUUACUGCUCAGGUUAUGCUCAGAUGCCCUGGUUGCCUGAAGAUGGUUUAAGUGCAGGCCCUUCAGACAAGUCACGUCAGGCAAGAGAGGGCUGGCCUCUAACCCACAAGAGGGCAGAUUUGUGGCCAAGAGGCUUCCUGGCAUCCACCCCCAGGCCCAAGGGAUCAGUGUGGUGCCAGAGAGGAUCUUUAAGCUGGGACUGUACUGAGGCUUGAUGGGAAGUAUGGGCAGCAUGUACUUGACACGUUAUCACCCAGUCCCCUUGUAAAAUCUGGAACGGAGUGUUUAAGCUGAGCGUUAGCAUCAGGUCAGCAGGCAAAGCAAACCUCCCACAAACUGGGUGCCGUAAGGCGGGAGGUGACACAGGGAGAGCUUCGUCCUGGCCGAGCAGGCACCCAGCCCCAUGUCCCCCGCCAGCAUUCUGGAUGUCAGAGGAGGGUGCGUGUGAUGGCGUCACAUUCAUCUGAAGCACACUGAUUGUUUUUCCACAAGGUGGCAAGUUUGAUCAAAUUGACCGCUUUUCAUGAGACACCCAGAUGCUGUAAAAAAAAAAAAAAAACAGCACUGGGAUGUGUUGAGGAGGGGGCAGUUUGCUGUGCUCUGUUCUGUCUGCUGCUCUCUCUGGGGGCCGCACAAUGUCCGCACACAUCACGGAGGGGAGAAAGGCAUCAGUACCAAACGGAACAACCUCUUUUUUCUACAAUGUCCAUACCCGGACAUGUGAGGCUCUAUUAUCAACAGGUGGUGAGAAAAAUUCUGUUUUUAUUCACUUUCUGGUAACUUCUGUAGGCCCUGGCUCAAGGACUUAGCAUUUCGUCUCAUGUACAUCUUUUUCUUAAGUGUUCUUUGCCAUUUCUGGAAUUGUCCUUGGUUUUUCCUUAGCUCAUAGGUCAUAGAUGCAGAAAUAUAGUAUUUAAGGCAUCCGCAUCCAGCAUCAGAUGGCUUUGCAUCCAGAAAAACAUUGAUAACUCAGUUUGAAGCACCAAGCAUGUGUAAUAUGGCUCUAUACAAU
rnacentral:lncRNA from 1 species